UGUCCCUACGGGACGCAGCAGUGGGGAAUAUUGCACAAUGGGGGAAACCCUGAUGCAGCAACGCCGCGUGAGUGAAGAAGUAUUUCGGUAUGUAAAGCUCUAUCAGCAGGGAAGAAGAAAGACGGUACCUGACUAAGAAGCCCCGGCUAACUACGUGCCAGCAGCCGCAGUAAUACGUAGGGGGCAAGCGUUAUCCGGAUUUACUGGGGGUAAAGGGAGCGUAGACGGCUGUGCAAGUCUGAAGUGAAAGCCCGUGGCCCAA
rnacentral:rRNA from 1 species